GACGAACGCUGGCGGCGUGCCUAAUACAUGCGAGUCGAGCGAAGUUUUUCUGGUGCUUGCACUAGAAAAACUUAGCGGCGAACGGGUGAGUAACACGUAAAGAACCUGCCUCAUAGACUGGGACAAAUAUUGGAAACGAUACCUAAUACCGGAUAACAGUAUUUCUCGCAUGAGAGAGAUUUAUAAGUUGGUUAUGCUAACACUAUGAGAUGGCUUUGUGGUGCAUUAGCUAGUUGGUGGGGUAAAGGCCCACCAAGGCGACGAUGCGUAGCCGAUCUGAGAGGGUGAUCAGCCACACUGGGACUGAGACACGGCCCAGACUCCUACGGGAGGCAGCAGUAGGGAAUCUUGGGCAAUGGGCGAAAGCCUGACGGAGCAACGCCGCGUGAGUGAAGAAGGAUUUCGGUUCGUAAAGCUCUGUUGUUAGGGAAGAAUGGCUAUGGGGUAACUCUACAUGUAAGUGACGGUACCUAACCAGAAAGCACCGGCUAACUACGUG
rnacentral:rRNA from 1 species